rnacentral:rRNA from 1 species
CAGCUUGCUGUGGUGGAUUAGUGGCGAACGGGCGAGUAACACGUGAGUAACCUGUCCUUUUCUUUGGGAUAACGGCUGGAAACGGCUGCUAAUACUGGAUAUUCAGGCUGCAUCGCAUGGUGUGGUUUGGAAAGGUUUUUUCUGGAAUGGGGUGGGCUCGCGGCCUAUCAGCUUGUUGGUGGGGUGAUGGCUUACCAAGGCUUUGACGGGUAGCCGGCCUGAGAGGGUGGUCGGUCGCACUGGGACUGAGAUACGGCCCAGACUCCUACGGGAGGCAGCAGUGGGGAUAUUGCACAAUGGACGGAAGUUUAAUGCAGCGACGCCGCGUGGAGGGUGUAGGCCUUCGGGUUGUGAACUCCUUUUUCUCGUGAAAAAGGCAUGCUUUUGGGUGUGUUGAUGGUAGCGGGGGAAGAAGCGCCGGCUAACUACGUGCCAGCAGCCGCGGUAAUACGUAGGGCGCGAGCGUUGUCCGGAUUUAUUGGGCGUAAAGAGCUCGUAGGUGGUUCGUCGCGUCUGUCGUGAAAGCCAGCAGCUUAACUGUUGGUCUGCGGUGGGUACGGGCGGGCUUGAGUGCGGUAGGGGUGACUGGAAUUCCUGGUGUAGCGGUGGAAUGCGCACAUAUCAGGAGGAACACCGAUGGCGAAGGCAGGUCACUGGGCCGUUACUGACGCUGAGGAGCGAAAGCGUGGGGAGCGAACAGGAUUAGAUACCCUGGUAGUCCACGCUGAUAACGUUGGGAACUAGGUGUGGGGAUGCUAUCCUG